GGGGUUGUGGCUCAGAGGUAGAGUGCUUGCCUAGCAUGCAUGAGACACUGAGUUUGAUUCUCAGCACCACA
rnacentral:tRNA from 1 species